rnacentral:lncRNA from 1 species
GGUUGAUUUUAAAAAAACUCGUAAUGGUAAGUAUGAAAUAAACAGUUUUCUUCAUGAUAAAUGAAUUUACUUAAAUUAAGAACUCCAUUAGUUGCUUUCUGAUUUUUACCAACUUUUGUUUUUCAUGUAAGUGAUUAGCGUGAUAUUCUUACUGGGCUAGUGUAGCUCACUCUUCUAUUAACCAUUUCAUAUUAAGAGG